rnacentral:RNase_MRP_RNA from 2 species
AGAUAUUUAUAUUAUUAAUAGGAAAGUCAUAAAUAUAUAAAUUAUAUUAUAUAAUUAAUAUAAUAAUAAAAUAAAUUAUAUAUUUUAUUUAUAAUAUUAUUUCUUUAUAAGAUAAAUAUUAUCUAAUUAAUAAUUAGAUUGAAUAAUAUUUAUAAAGAAAUAUAUAUAUAUAUAUAAAGUCAUUAUAUAAAUUUAAUUAUAAUUUAAAUAAAUUUUAUAUAAAUUAAUAUAAUAUUAAUAAAGUAAUUAGUAUAAAUAAAUAAUAUGAAAAUAAAACUUAAUAAAUAUAUAAAUAUAGUCCAUAUAUAUAUAUUAAUAAAAAAAAAGUAAUAUAUAUAUAUAUAUUGGAAUAGUUAUAUUAUUAUACAGAAAUAUGCUUAAUUAUAAUAUAAUAUCCA